UCCCUUGUGGCUCAGCUGGUAGAGAAUCUGCCUGCAAUGUAGGAGACCUGGGUUCAACCCCUGGGUUGGGAA
rnacentral:tRNA from 1 species